rnacentral:rRNA from 1 species
UACGGAGGGAGCUAGCGUUGUUCGGAAUUACUGGGCGUAAAGCGCACGUAGGCGGCUUUGUAAGUUAGAGGUGAAAGCCCGGGGCUCAACUCCGGAACUGCCUUUAAGACUGCAUCGCUUGAAUCCAGGAGAGGUGAGUGGAAUUCCGAGUGUAGAGGUGAAAUUCGUAGAUAUUCGGAAGAACACCAGUGGCGAAGGCGGCC